CCAGGCCCCCUCAGCCCCCUCCAGUGCCCCGCCCCCAGCGCCCCGCCCCUCCAAGUGACCCGCCCCCCGGCGCCCCGGCCCCCUGCCCCCUCCACCCCGAUUUCUGAGUCACGGGGUGUCCUGUGAACUUGAGGCCGCAGGGACUGAUGACUAACAGCGCACUCGCGUCUGUGGGGGAACAGGAGCCCCCUCCUCCCGGGUUAUGCCGUGAACGGUACCGCUCGCGGGCCAUGGUCCACACUAGACGAGACCGCGUUUGCACCCUGGCUGCUGCUUUCCCAUGCGUUCUUUCGCACACCUGGAGCUGACUGGGAGCCGCACUUGGCUGGCAGGUGGCAGCCGGCGUGACUGACAAGUCAGGGCUGUGUGACCAGAGCAAGAACAAGAUGCCAUCGCGGACCACCGGUGAUGUCCCAGGCCUGUCUCACAGGCCAUCAACAGGGAGCUGGAUUGGAAAUGGAGCAGCCAGGACUCGAACCAGCGUCCAUGUGGGAUGCCGGCACUGCAGACAGCAGCUUUACCUGCUGCACCACGGCACCGGCUCCAGACACAAACAUUCUGACCACAGCUCCAACUCCACCCUGGACCCUGCUCUCCACUGCAAGAACUCCUGCAUUCCCCAUGCCCCCAGAGGGGUGAUGGAGGGUAUGCAUCACGGGUACUGGAACCUCCGCUGGACAGAACGCCGCCUCCCAGCCAGGACAUGCGCUGUCCCCAGCAGCUCCAGCUGUGUUUUUCUGAACACAAAUCAGAGCUCUUGGAGCAGCUAAAUACAUUCAGUAACGGGGCACGCACUGCCGGGUACAGCCGACGAGGUUUUCUCCCUGCACUCCCGAGGUCAGUGCCCUGCAGGUGAACCUGGAAGCCCGGCGCCUGGGGUGAUGGAUGGCCCUGGGGCUGCUGCUCCCGCCCCGCUGAUGUGGAGAGAGGUGCUGUUCCCGCCCCCCCAGCCCCCACCGCGAGGUGAGAAUCAGCUGGGGUCAGCCUAGCCCCCCACCCCUCGCCGGUCAGGGUCUGAAGCUUUGCCGGGGAAGCUGUGACGCUGCUGGCGGGGCCAGGAGGGAGGAAAGCGCCAGAUGGCUGGGCAGGUGUUCCUGCUCCGAAGCCUUAUCAGAUGCACCCGGGCCAGCCCUGCAGGCGGUGAGGAUUGUGAAAGCGAGGGAGGGGAUGUCCCCCUUCCCUCCCCCCACCCCUUCAGCCUGCCCGUGCUCGGCAGAGGGCCAUCCAGUGUCCUCGUGGCCACUGCCACGUGGUGAUUCUGGCCCUGGUGUGCCACAUCCUGCCCGAGGCCGUGGCCUGGUCCCUGAGGGACCCUGGCUCUCCCCAGCUUGCCACUGGGAGAGAUUCCUGCUGGGCCCUCGGGGGCUCCUGUCCUCAUGCCCCAGGGCUUUGCCGCCCUAGGCCCCUGUGCAGUGGGCUGGGCCCAGGCCUCUCACCUCCUGCCUUUGUCCCGAGGAGCUGCUCAGUGGGGCGGGAGGUGGGGGAGUAACUCCGGCUGCCUCCCCACUUGGGGGGGAAGGGACUUGGUUUCCAGUCACGGACAUCAAUGUUCAGUUUCUUUUUCCUUGCCCACCCGCCCCACUUUGUUGGGCGUAUCCCUAAAACGAGGGGCUCCCUUCCCUCCCAGCUCCCCGUGCCACAGAGACAGCAGCUCCAGGCCGAGGCAGCACCACAAACAGCGCUGUCCUCCAGGGUGGAGGCAGGGACGGUAGAAGGGAGUGGCCCCGGGGCGGAUCGGGGCGGGUCUGGGUGUUGCAGCCCCUGGUCCUGGACUACGCCUCUGCCAGCAGACUGGGAACUUCUCUGAGGCAGCGCUGGGUCUUAAGCAAGUGUCCCCAGCUGUGCCGGCCUGCGCCUGUGCUGAGCACACAGCCUGGCUGCACAGCGUCUGACUGCCUGUGCUGAGCACACAGCCUGGCUGCACAGCGUCUGACUGCCUGUGCUGAGCACACAGCCUGGCUGCACAGCGUCUGACUGCCUGUGCUGAGCACACAGCCUGGCUGCACAGCGUCUGACUGCCUGUGCUGAGCACACAGCCUGGCUGCACAGCGUCUGACUGCCUGGCUGCACAGCUCUGACUGCCUGGGGCCUGCACGAGCGGAGCCUGGGUCUGCUGAGAGGCAGGGUUGGAGGGGCCGCGGGGGGCGCUCGGCCCCUUCCCUCCGGGAGGAGCAGCUGCUGCACCUGCAGCACAGCUCAGCAACGUGACAGGGAGCGUGGCAGGGGUGCACGUGGCAGGCUGGAGGUGUGGGCAGAGAUGCAGCCCCGGAAGGACACUGUCCCUGGUCCCUGAAGUGGCCGGGGCCCAGGCCACACAGAUCAGCCGCAGGGAGAAGCUCUCUUCUUCCAGACCAAGGCACAAGGUAGACGCAGAGUGGAUCUCACUCAGCAAGGCCACCGGGGAGGGCGGGGACUGGCUGGGGGAGGCAACGGCUGUGUGUCCCCUCCAGGCCAGUAGCUGCCCCUCAGUUGCAGGGGCUGGAGCCCUAAGAGGGGCAGCCGAGACAGCUGGGGGAGCCCUAGUGGCCCGACCACCCCCAAGGCACCUGCCUCCCCCAACCACCAGCCCACUGCUGACUCUGGGAGUCCAAGAACCAUGGCGCUGGGCCUGCCCUGGGCAGGCGCUGAUGGGGUGGCCAGGCUGGAACAUGAACCACAGGCCACCAGACCUGGGAGGACACAGGGCUGUGAACCAGCAGGAGGGGUGGGAAGCUGGGUGACCCCGGCCAAAGCAGGAAGGUGAGAGAGAGGCAGAAGGGGCUGGAGGGUGAGAGCCUGAGGCGAGUAGCGCCUGGAAAGCCCACUGCCCUCUGUGGGUGGACCUUGAGCGGGUGUUGGCCAGAGGGCCUGGUCAGGACUGACAGCUCUGGAUGCUCACAGCCCCGGCAGGACCAGGCCACAAGUCACAAUGAAAAGGGCCAGGGGGGUCCAGGCUGCGCCACACCCAGGGUUGGGGUUCAGGGGAAAGUGGGCGAGGGGGCGGGGAAGAAGCAGGCCUGGGACCCCGCACUGUUUAACGCUUUGUCGGUCCUUCAUGUCACCCGGACUGAGGACAACGGGACACUGGCCGGGAGGGGCUUCGCGAGUCACGGUGGCUUCAGGCAGUGCCUGCAGACGGGGACCCUGGCUCUGGCGAGGGGGGACGCCGCGAGGGGCGGCCUGGGCAGGGGCGGCCCCGCCCAGCGACCGGGUGCGCAGGGAGACCAGGCCCUGUCCGUGGUGCUGACCGUGCCCGCAGCUUGCGGGUCCGGGCACAGGGCGCGCAGGUGCUGAAGAGGUCGCGAACACGCGUGUUCCUCUUUUGGCAGCGGUCACGUCCUGCAGGGAGGGGGAGACCCCGAGUCCCCAGAGCCUCCGUUGCACGCCCGCGCUCUGCGCCCGAGUCUCUGGCCGUGCAUCCCCCCUCUGUGCCCCGGAGCCUACGCCCAGCACCUUUCCCGCAGCUUCUGUUCUCGGGGGCUAUUCAACGCUCCUCCCGCGAGCUCGGGUUCCCCAAACCCCGCGGAGGUCACCUGCAAUCCCCUGAAGUCUUCUCGGAGGUCGGACUCUCGGUGCAGCCUCAUGACAAGCGUGACCUCUGAGCUGUGCGUGCUGCUGCUCCUGGCCCCGGAUCCCUGCACACCGGGCCCCCCGGAUCCCUGCACACCGGGCAGGUCUGCACCCAAGCCAGGCUGAUCCAAAAGGUUCUCCGCCUUGGGAACAGCAGCAGGCAUCCUUCGUCCUCAAGCCAAGGGAAAGCCGCGGUGAGAGGUUUGUAGCAGGAAACACGUGACACGGGAAACGCGGGCACAAUCUGGAAACCCCUCCGGUGUCCCCGGCCUGAAGGGGCAGCAGAGGUGAGGGACAUGGAGGACAGGGAGAACCGAGCGACAGGGCGGAGAGCGUGGAGCCAGCCGGGCUGGGACCAUAAAGGACGGGAAAUUCCUGCAGAGCAACAGAGGCCUCUGUGGCAAGAGUGAACCAUGCAAAGCAGGAUGGAGCUGGAGAGACCGAGGCUCAGUUUGGGCAUCUGUGAAAUGGGCUCCAACAUCCUCCUGACAGGGAUUCAAUGAAAUCUCCCAGGUGACGUAACCACCCAGCGUCUGGCACACAAAAGUCUUCCCUGAGGGGACAGUGUUGUGGCGCCUCCGGCUAAGCUGCCGCCUGCAGUACCGGCAUCCCACUUGGGUGCUGGUUAGAGUCCCAGCUGCUCCACUUCUGAUCCAACUCCCUGCUAAUGGCCUGGGAAAGCAGUGGAAGGCCAUCCAAGUCCUUGGGCCCCUGCACCAGCGUGGGAGAUCGGGAAGAAGCUCCUGGCUCCUGGCUUCGGGUUGGCCCAGCUCCAGCCUUUGUGGCCAUUUGGGGAAUGAACCAGGGGAUGAAAGACUCUCUCUCUCUCUGUCUCUCCCUCUCUGUCUGUAACUUUGCCUUUCAAACAAAUAAUAAAUCAUUAAAAAUA